rnacentral:ncRNA from 1 species
CAUAGGAUUUUAAAAAGAAGAAGUACUAUUUACUCAAUUCUCAGUGAGUUAAGGACAGUGCAAACUUAACAUGCGGGUAUUUACGAAUAACAUCUUUUUACUUCGGCCUGAACUAACAGUAGGGUUUGACGGAGCUGACACGUUAUAGUCAGUAAGCAUGUUUGUGCUUGUAGAGAUGUUUUCGUAUGAAAACAAUUUGGGUGGUACCGCGGAAAGACCUUUCGUCCCUUUU